CUAUAUACAGUGAAUUUGAAUUAAACUUUAAAAACUGGCUAAAAACAGUAGGAGCCUCCAAGGCUCUAGAGGUUUGACACUAGGGCCUUGAAGGCACCUAGUGUCUCUGCCUGUGGGAUGUCUGGUGGUAAGGCGUUCCAGUCCCUUAUAGUCUGUGGUAAGUAUGAUGUCUUGUGUGCAUCAAUACGUGAGUGCGGUACUUGGUAUGCCUUAGGGUGUAUAUUUCUCCCUUUUCUUACUGAUGGUGUGAGUCGUCCUUCUUUCUCUAUUGCUACCAUAUUAUUCUCUAUUUUAUAGAACAUCACUAGUCUGGUUUCCUUUCUUCGUUGUUGCAGUGGUUUCCAUUUUAGGUGGUCUAUCAUUUCUGUGACACUUGCAGUUGGUUUGUACUUAUUUGUCACGUAUCUUGCAGCUCUUCUUUGUAUCUGUUCUAUUUUGUAGAUCGAUUCUUUUGUUGCUGG
rnacentral:lncRNA from 1 species